AUAAUUAAAUAAAUUUUACACAUUAAAUUAUAUACAAUAUGCUGUAUUAUUAUUAGUAAACUCGAUAUUGUUUAUUAUAUCAUAAUUUAAAUUAUAGUAAUUAACAGUGGAUAGUAAACAGAUAGGGAUAAUGAUAUAUGGUGAGAGGAGGGUUAAUACACUCUCAGCACAUCAUCCUCAUCUAUCCUUAUGUUUGUGUAAAAAGUACUUGAAAAAUGUAACAUUUCACACUAAGUGUAAAAUGUAAAAUUGGAUCAGUAUCUAUCUUAAUCGUAUAGUUUUAGAUUGUGUUAAACGAUGAUAAAUGAUGUUAUCUACUGGAGUUCAUACAGCGACUCCGAAAUUGAAAGAUAUGUUAGACUAUAUACUAACCCAACCCAUGAAUAACACACAAAAAUUUCAACAAAAGUUGAAAUUGAUAGUAUAAAUAAUCCAAACUAUAGUAAUGGUGAAUACCGAGAGAUCCGUUUUUCGGUGAAUGGAGUAUGGUCAUCCUAUACAACAAACAAACCGCUGGCAAUUAUUAAACCAGUUCGGCAUGGACAUCACAUACCAUAAUAUUGGCAAGUUUCUAUAGUAAUUUAUUUAUUGUUUAUCAAUUAAUUGUAAUUACACACUUUGAAUAAAAAAGUAUCAUCAAAAGUUUGCUCCCUUUCUAUUAAUUUGAA